UACAGAGGGUGCGAGCGUUAAUCGGAAUUACUGGGCGUAAAGGGCGCGUAGGCGGUUAAUUAAGUUAGAUGUGAAAUCCCUGGGCUUAACCUAGGAACUGCAUUUAAUACUGGUUGACUGGAGUGCUGUAGAGGGUAGUGGAAUUUCCGGUGUAGCGGUGAAAUGCGUAGAUAUCGGAAGGAACACCAGUGGCGAAGGCGGCUACCUGGACAGACACUGACGCUGAGGCGCGAGAGCGUGGGGAGCAAACAGG
rnacentral:rRNA from 1 species